rnacentral:rRNA from 1 species
UACGGGGGGGGGCAAGCGUUUGUUCGGAAUUACUGGGCGUAAAGGGCGCGUAGGCGGCCUGCUAAGUCGGACGUGAAAUCCCUCGGCUCAACCGGGGAACUGCGUCCGAUACUGGCGAGGCUUGAAUCCGGGAGAGGGAUGUGGAAUUCCCGGUGUAGCGGUGGAAUGCGUAGAGAUCGGGAAGAACAUCGGUGGCGAAGGCGGCCAGCUGGGCCGUUGCUGACGCUGAGGCGCGACAGCGUGGGGAGCAAACAGG